rnacentral:rRNA from 1 species
GAUGAACGCUAGCGGCAGGCCUAAUACAUGCAAGUCGGACGGGAUUCAGGAGCUUGCUUCUGAUGAGAGUGGCGCACGGGUGCGUAACACGUAUGUAACCUACCUUUAUCAGGGGGAUAGCCUCUCGAAAGAGAGAUUAAGCCCGCAUAAAAUCACAGCACAGCAUUGUGUAAUGAUCAAAUAUUUAUAGGAUAAAGAUGGGCAUGCGGAACAUUAGCUAGAUGGCGGGGUAACGGCCCACCAUGGCGACGAUGUUUAGGUGAUCUGAGAGGAUGGCCCCUCACACUGGUACUGAGACACGGACCAGACUCCUACGGGAGGCAGCAGUAAGGAAUAUUGGUCAAUGGGCGGAAGCCUGAACCAGCCAUGCCGCGUGCAGGAAGACGGCCCUACGGGUUGUAAACUGCUUUUAUACGGGAAUAAACCCAGAUACGUGUAUCUGGCUGAAUGUACUGUAAGAAUAAGGAUCGGCUAACUCCGUG